CGGUGCCAGCCGCCGCGGUAAUACCGGCACCCCAAGUGGUCGUCGCUUUUAUUGGGCCUAAAACGUCCGUCGCCUGUUUGGUACAUUCGUGGGUAAAUCAAGCCGCUUAACGGCUUGAAUUCUGCGAGGACGGCCAGACUAGGGACCGGGAGAGGUAUGGGGUACUCUCAGGGUAGGGGUAAAAUCCAGUCAUCCUGAGGGGACCACCUGUUGCGAAGGCGCCAUACUAGAACGGAUCCGACGGUCAGGGACGAAGCCUAGGGGCACGAACCGGAUUAGAUACCCGGGUAGUCCUAGGUGUAAACGCUGUGGACUUGGUGUUGGGGAUUCUACGAGUAUCCCCAGUGCCGAAGUGAAGAUGUUAAGUCCACUGCCUGGGGAGUACGGUCGCAAGGCUGAAACUUAAAGGAAUUGGCGGGGGAGCACAGCAACGAGAGGAGCGUGCGGUUU
rnacentral:rRNA from 1 species